CGCUGGGCAAUUUGUAAACGGGGCUUUCAAAAUAGGCCAGAGGCUUCCUGGGCUUCCUUCUAGCAUCCAGUUAUCAUUCUCCACUUGUGAUGCACUGAGAAGAAGAAAAUGGGAAAAGGUUCUGAUCCAGGCCUCCUUGGGAGAGAGGCAAGUUUGCUGUCUGCAGGAGCCGGCGAUGUCGGGAGGAUUUUGUUAUUGGUGUGGAAUCUCGGCUCUUCCAAGUUCCUGCUAAGCAUCCCUUUCAGCAUGGUCACCUGGUGACUCUCUCGCUUGAUCACUGCAUCCUGGUAAUACAGCAGGCUGUUAAGGGAGGAGGCAGAGGGAAAAUGAAGGUGGGGUGAGCACAGUGGUGGAGCCACUUCCCUCA
rnacentral:lncRNA from 1 species